rnacentral:lncRNA from 1 species
GUUAAGACUAACGUGUGAUAGCUUUUGUAACUUAAGUCUUUCCUUAACUUAUAGGAGAAGUUAUUGAUGUGGAUCAUGGAAUUAUUUGCGAAAAUGUUCCCAUACCUACACCAACGGGAGAAGUGGUGGCUUCCAGGCUAAACUUCAAAGCAGGUUGCCAUCUUUCUGCUUCCGCCUCCUCACCUUGACAAUGGGGAGAAUAACGGUAACCUGCCUUUUGGAUGUGAGGAUUAAAUGAGACAGUUGGUGCAAAGCAGUCGGCGCAGGAUCUGGCACAAAGUGAAGCCUUCAAUAAAUGAUGAUUACAGUAGUUUUGACUUCCCUCCAGUCGGAAUAUCGUUGAGUUGAAGUUAGUGGCUAUGUCACAGCUGUGUCUCAGGCUGGUGUCUGCCGCCCUGAGCCAAGCCGUAAAAAUCCCUAGAAUAACUUUGCAAAAGCCUGUUAGCCUCUGGAGGCUCCUACACUUCUUUAUUUUAUUUUGCUUUAUUUUGUUUUAUUUUAUUUUAUUUUACUUUAUUGCAGUGACAGUGGAUUCUAACAUCACGUAGCUUUCCAGAGGUACGUUGUAAUACAUUUCGAAUUCUGUGUAGAUUACGUCGUGUUCACCACCCCAAAACUAAUUAUAGUCCGUCACCUCACAUGUGAGCCUCAUCGCCCCUUUUGCUCUCUCCCCUCCCCCCCUCCCCCUACGGUAACCACCAAUCCAAUCUCCGUUGCUCUGUGCGUGUUCGUCAUUGUUUUUAUCAUGUACUUAUGAGUGAGAUCACACGGUGUUUGACUUUCUCCCUCUGAUUUAUUUCACUUCACAUAAUACCCUCAAGGUCCAUCCACGUUGUCACAAAUGGCCGGAUCUCAUCGUUUCUUAGGGCCGAGUGGCAUUCCAUUGUGUAUACAUACCACAUCUUCUUGAUCCAUUCUUCCCUUGAUGGGCACCUAGGUUGCUUCCAAGUUUUGGCUGUUGUGAAUAAUGCUGCAGUGAACCUAGGGGUGCAUGUGUCUUUCUGCAUUGGUGUUUUCAAGUUCUUUCAAUAAAUACCCAGCAGUGGGCUAGCUGGAUCAUACAUAUGGUAGAUGUAUUCUUAGUUUUCUGAGGAUACUCCAUACGGCUUUCCAUAGUGGCUGCACCAGUCUGCACUCCCACCAGCAGUGUAGGAGAGUUCCUUUCUCUCCACAUCCUCUCCGACACUUGUCUCCUGUCUUGUUAAUUAGAGCCAUUCUGACCAGAGGAAGGUGACCUCUCCUUGUAGUUGUGAUUUGCCUUCCUCUGAUAGCUAAUGAUGUUGAGCCCCUUUCCAUAUGCCUGUUGGCCAUCCGGAUACCUUCUUUGGAGAAGUCACUGCUCAGAUCUUUUGCCCGUCUUUUUAAUCGGGUUGUUGAGUUUUUG